ACGAGGAGAAAGGGACUCUGGUGUCCAGGCAGUGACGGAAGCCCAGGCAUCACGGGCGGUCAUGGAUGUAUAGCGUGUUUACGGUUUUCGGUAGCUCCAUUCACGGGUGCAGGCACAGAGGAAGCAGCGUUGGAUUUAACCAGCUUGGCCUCCGGAAGGAGCCCAGACCUGCAGACACCUUGACGUCAGCCCAGUGAGACCGUUUUGGUUUUCUGACCUCCAGACCUUAAGAGCGCCCCACCACUGAUGGAGACCCUUCCUAAUUGGAUACACCAAGUAGAGUGGACAGAACCCCAAAGGAGCAGCACUUUCCGUGUGGGACCGUGACACGGCUGCACUCUUCCUGGGCUGGCCUAGAACCACCCUGCUGCUGGUUACCUCAUGAAGUUUCGAAUCGUGGCCAAGGAACGAGAUACAAUUUUAAAUGCUAGCUUCUGCUGCAGUCGGAGACUAUCAGACUUUCAU